CUCUCCCAACCCGUAGCCCGUCGCGUUGAACCUUGGCCAGCUCCUCAUCGGUGGCUUUGGGAGGGCCGGGGACGUGGGGGUCAGUUGGCACAGCAACUGCUACACGGGGACAAAAGGAGGCUUUCGUGGCGGCGGCAGCAGCAGCUGCCAGCCCGAAUAGCAAAUCCACACGGCUUGGCACCACUCCAGCUUCCUUGAGGGUUGCAGAGGGAUGGUAUGUUGGAGGGGCACCCAGGCUGAGCUAAUGACUCUCCUCCCUCCACAUCCCUCUCCCAGAGUGAGGCUGAAUGUGAUGGGAUCUCUGUGGCUGUCAUUAAGAGCCAACGUGUGAGCAGGAUCGUUCCAAUUCUCUGCAGCAUUGUGCAUAGGGAUGUCUCUGAGCCAGGUUUGGAGCAGCUCCAGCUCUGUCUGUGCCUUCCAGAGAACUUGGGUAGGUUUUGUUUGGUGCCUCCAUCCAUCUGCUGGUGCAGGGCUGACGUGUAAGCACUGCUGUGAGCCCCUCUCACCCUUCUCAGCUGCUGUGCUGCCACUUGGCACUGAAGCUAUUGCAAAGCUGAGGCUGAACAAGCUUUUACUUCUUUAAGGACAUCAUAAUGCCACGUGUUGAGCUGCUAAGCUGGGAUCCCUUUCCCAAGCUGUAGAUGAGCAGAAGUUGGGCACUGCCCAGUCCAUGUCCUGCACCCUGAAAGGCAGCCUGGUGGGUGCCCAUCACGGGUAUUGAUUAUAACAAAACCACAUUUCAGCACACUGGAUAUUGGUGGUAGAAUCACAGAAUCAUUCUGGUUGGUAAAGACCACUAGGAUCAUCUAGUCCAACCAUCAACCCAUCACCACCAUAACUGGAAAUGGAAUUGGUAAUUGGAAAUGGUGAUGCCGAGUUCCUAUUGGGACUGAAUGAGGGCCAUUCCCUGCCCUGUCCAGCUCCCUCAUCCACACCCAGCUCUGCUUUUGGCUCCACGUACGUCUGUCCCGAUCCUGAGCAGUCUGAAAUGUGCCAUAGUCAAUGAUUGACACCAGAGAUGUUUCUGUAAAAUAAUGACUGCAUCUUCUUGGCUUUACUUCAAAGUUUC
rnacentral:lncRNA from 1 species